rfam:Candidatus Jorgensenbacteria bacterium RIFCSPLOWO2_01_FTLL_45_25b rifcsplowo2_01_scaffold_1350, whole genome shotgun sequence.
ACGUUUGAGGAUUUGAUCCUGGUCCAGGAUGAACGCUGGCGGCGUGGAUAAGGCAUGCAAGUCGAACGGUGUCAGUGCGAAGCACUGACCGCAGAACAACGCAGAAUUGACGCAGACAGUCGCGGAAGAAUUUUUUUUCUGCGUAAGUCUGCGUUUGGUCCGCGUAUUUCCGCGGUCAAUGCUUUGCGUUGACAUAGUGGCGAACGAGUUAGUAAUACCUUGGAAUCUACCUCCGAGUUGGGGAUAGCUCUGGGAAACCAGAGGUAAUACCCAAUAGCACCUUGUGCUUUGCACAAGGAAAUUCUAAAUUCUAAUCUCUAAACUCUAAACAAAUUUUAAAUUCAAAAUCCAAAUACUUAAAACAAAACGUUUUGAGUUUCGGGCGUUUGAGUUUUGAUAUUGUUUAGGAUUUAGGAAUUAGAUAUUAGGAUUUCCUUGCGUAGAGCGCGAGGUUAAAGGAGCAAUUUGCUCGGAGAGGAGCCUAGGUCCCAUCAGCUUGUUGGUAGGGUAAUGGCCUACCAAGGCUACGACGGGUAGGGGGGGUGAGAGCCCGGUCCCCAACGGCGGCACUGAGACACGGGCCGCACACCUACGGGUGGCAGCAGUCGAGAAUAUUCCACAAUGGGCGAAAGCCUGAUGGAGCGACGCCGCGUGCAGGAUGAAGGCCUUCGGGUUGUAAACUGCUUUUCUAUGGGAGGAAGACGCAUCUCACUAAGGCGAGAUGCUAAAUGACUAAUAGCUAAUUACUAAUUUCUAAUCAAUUACUAGUGUCAAUAUGCCAAAUGUCUAACAUGUUUAGUCAUUUAAUCAUUAUGUCAUUAGGGUUUGAUUAGUUAUUAGAUAUUAGAAAUUAGAAAUUUUAGCACCGAACUUUAGUGAGGUGCGUUUGACAGUACCGUAGGAAUAAGGGGCUGCAAACUUCGUGCCAGCAGCCGCGGUAAUACGAAGGCCCCAAGCGUUAUCCGGAUUUAUUGGGCGUAAAGAGCGCGUAGGAGGUUUGGCGGGUCUGUAGUUAAAUUUCACGGCUCAACUGUGAAGCUGCUACGGAAACUACCAGACUAGAGGACGUUAGAGGCAAGUGGAACACACAGUGUAGGGGUGAAAUCCGUUGAUAUUGUGUGGAACACCAAAGGCGAAGGCAUCUUGCUGGGGCGUUCCUGACUCUGAGGCGCGAAAGCGUGGGUAGCGAAAAGGAUUAGAUACCCUUGUAGUCCACGCCGUAAACGAUGUCCGCUGGCUGUCUCGAGUAUCGACCCUCGGGGUGGCGAAGCUAACGCGUUAAGCGGACCGCCUGGGAAGUACGGCCGCAAGGCUAAAACUCAAAGGAAUAGACGGGGACUCGCACAAGCAGUGGAGCAUGUGGUUUAAUUCGAUGGUAAGCGAGGCACCUCACCAGGGCUUGAAAUUCAGAUGAAGAUCGUCCGAAAGGAUGAUUGUCUCACAAGGACAUCUGGACAGGUGCUGCAUGGUUGCCGUCAGCUCGUGCCGUGAGGCGUUCCCUUAAGUGGGGUAACGAGCGCAACCCCUGUUUCGUGUUAUAUGUGUCACGAAAGACUGCCACGUCAUACGUGGAGGAAGGUGGGGACGACGUCAAAUCAGCAUGGCCCUUUGAUGCCCUGGGCGACACACAUGCUACAAUGGUUGGUACAGAGGGUUGCCAAGCCGCGAGGCGGAGCUAAUCCCUAAAAACCAGCCCCAGUUCGGAUUGGAGUCUGAAACUCGACUCCAUGAAGUCGGAAUUGCUAGUAAUCGCGGAUCAGAACGCCGCGGUGAAUACGUUAUCGAGUCCUGUACUCACAAGAACCGCGCCUGGCAGGCGCGUAGACAAGAGGGUUAAAAUCCCUUCCUCC